rnacentral:tRNA from 1 species
GAGAAUAUAGUUUAAUGGUAAAACCUUAACCUGUCUCGUUAAAGUUACGAGUUCAAGUCUCGUUGUUCUCG